rnacentral:misc_RNA from 1 species
UUAAAACAAAUCGACAUAGUUGCUGUUUCGCGGUGACAUCCACCAAUCGGGCGUAUUUCGUCCCGGUCUGCUUGCAUUCGUCGGAAAUUGGGUCAUCUUAAACCUUUUGGUUUUAAGCGGCUUAAAAUUUUCUUUACCGAUUUACGUACGUUUCUAAGAUUUAUUUCUUACACGUUUAAGGUAUCGAUCUUUAUUAGACGUGGCCGUCGCAUCGGAUCGCGUCCAUAAAUCUUUCGUU